UUUUGAAGUCGAUGCGGGUGGAUGUCGCGCGGAAAUUUUUUGUUGAGAAUUUCGGGUGAAAUUUCGUGUUUGGAUGAAACGCAGUGAGAUAAGUGAGAGUGAGACAGAUAUGCAAAUAAUUAAUUAUUGAGAGUGUGUGUGUGUGUAGUUUUUAUUUUGCGCGGGUCGCGUAUUUGCGGAAAUAAAAGAAAAUACAGAAAAGCCAAAAACGGAGUUAAUCGUAUGGCGGCCAAAUAGUGAAGGAAAAAUGUUGAGUUGAAUGGAAAUAUUUGAGAAAAUCAUAAUAAAAUUCCAAGAAAUACCCAAAAAUGGGGGUGUGAGAGAGUGAGUGUGUCUGUGUGUGAAAUAAAUAAAUAAAUUUCGUUGCGGCGCAAAAAAGAAAGCAACACGGAAAAAGGAAGAAUCGAAUGAAAAGUGCGUAGUUCUUAUUUUGAAAUCGAUACCAAAAAAAAAAGAAAGAAAAAAAAACAAAAGCAACAAAAAAGAAUGCUGAAAGAUUCACACCGAAUAUAUGUAUGUCCUUGAAAUGAGAGAUUUUAUGGCAUUCAUGUGAAAAGCAGGUGAUGAAAACGGCUAAAGUGAAAAAUUAUUGAGAAAAUUCAAUAAAUAUGGCGAAAUGAUAAUCCACAUGGAAGGCAAAUUACUACUAGUCAAGAAGGAAAAGUGAAGUGAAGUGUGUGCAGAGAAAAGGAAUAAGAAAACACGGAAAAGUUUAAAACGUGAAAAAAAAUAUACAUAUUUGACACGAGCAGAGCGGAAAAAGGCUCUCUAACGGUAGAAAAAGGAUAUCUAUCUAUUUGUCUAACAACAAUUGCUAAAAGAAAAGUGCAACAACAACUGCAAAAGGAAGGAGGCAAAAAUACAAAGACAAAGAAAAUAAAACAACUUUAUAGUUGCGAAGCGGGACUCAAAAACAUUAUAACAAAAAGCGCACUCGGUCACAGCAGCAGCAACAACAACAACAAAAGCAUUCCAUCAAACGACAACGACGAUAACAAAAACAAAAAAAAAACACACAGGAAAACAAAAUUAU